UGGGAUGGGAACUAGCAGAUGGGAACAGCCGUGUGUGAGCUGAGCACUGUCGUGUGACCGGACUGCUCCGACCUGGGCGGACGCCGCCGGACGGCACCGGCUGCGGCAGGAUGUCGGCGAUGGAGGCGCUGAUCCCGGUGCUGAACAAGCUGCAGGACGUGUUCAGCACGGUGGGCUCCGACGCCAUCCAGCUGCCGCAGAUUGUGGUGGUCGGCUCGCAGAGCUCCGGCAAGAGCUCUGUGCUGGAGAGCCUGGUGGGCCGCUCGUUCCUGCCGCGCGGCACGGGCAUCGUCACCCGGUGUCCGCUGGUGCUGCAGCUCGUGCACACGCCUCUCGAUGACCGCGAGCACCGGACUGCCGAGGAGGGAACGCUAGACGCCCCAGAGUUCGGCAAGUUCCUUCACAGCAAGAAGGUGUUCAAAGACCUGGACGAUGUGCGAGCGGAGAUCGAGUUGGAAACGGACAAACGGGCCGGCACCAAUAAGGGCAUCUGCCCCGAGCCCAUCAACCUGAAGAUCUUCUCGCCAAAGGUGGUGAACCUGACCCUAGUGGACCUGCCGGGGCUGACCAAGGUGCCUGUCGGCGACCAGCCCGAUGACAUCGACCGUCAGAUUGAGGAGCUGAUCGUCAAAUACAUCACCAACCCCAACAGCAUCAUCCUGGCGGUGACGGCGGCCAACAUCGACAUGUCAACGGCCGAGAGUCUCAAGUUCGCGCGCGACGUGGACCCGGACGGUCGGCGCACGCUGGCGGUCAUCACCAAACUGGACCUGAUGGACGCGGGCACGGACGCCAUCGACAUGCUGUGCGGCAAGGUGAUCCCCGUCAAACUGGGCAUCAUCGGCGUGGUCAACCGCUCCCAGCAGGAUAUCCAGAAGAACAAGAGCAUCGAGGACGCACUGCGAGACGAGGCCGCCUUCCUGCAGCGGAAAUACCCGUCACUGGCGGCACGGAACGGCUCCCAGUACCUGGGCAAGACACUGAACCGGCUGCUGAUGCACCACAUCCGCGACUGCCUGCCCGACCUGAAGACGCGCGUCAAUAUGAUGGCGGCGCAGUUCCAGUCGCUGCUGAACUCCUACGGCGAGGACGUGUCCGACAAGGCCCGUACCCUCCUGCAGAUCAUCACCAAGUUCGCGUCGGCCUACUGUCAGACCAUCGAGGGCACGGCGCGUAACAUUGAGACCACCGAGCUGUGCGGCGGCGCGCGCAUCUGCUACAUCUUCCACGAGACGUUCGGCCGCGUGCUGGACUCGAUCCACCCGCUGACCGGGCUCACCUCCAUGGACAUUCUGACUGCCAUCCGGAACGCCACCGGGCCGCGGCCGGCGCUCUUUAUACCCGAGGUGUCGUUUGAGCUGCUGGUGAAGCGUCAGAUCCGCCGGUUGGAGGAGCCGUCGCUGCGCUGCGUGGAGCUGGCGCACGAGGAGAUGCAGCGCAUCAUCCAGCACUGCGGCACCGAGGUGCAGCAGGAGAUGCUGCGCUUCCCCAAGCUGCACGAGCGGAUCGUGGACGUGGUGACGCAGCUGCUGCGCGUGCGGCUGCCGCCCACCAACCAGAUGGUGGAGAACCUGGUGCAGAUCGAGCUCUCCUACAUCAACACCAAGCACCCGGACUUCCACAAAGACGCCGCGCUCGUCUCCAGCCUGAUCAAGAACGCCGAGGAGGACCACGGUCGGCUGGCGUCGGGCCGGCACCGGGGCCAGCGCCCGCCGCCCCCGCCCGGCGCCCAGGUGCCCAUGAUAAAGUCGGCAGAGGACGAGCUGCAGCCCAGGAAUCGGAUAGUCAAGUACAACAGCGACUCGCAGAUGGCCAACUCCAACUGGCUGGCGCAGCUGCUGCCCUCGCGCGGUGAGGAGAGUGGGGCGGCCUCGGCAGAGAACACCCCGCCCGUGACGCCGGCGCACCAGGGCCGCGGAGACGGCGCCACCACCGCCAACGGUGCAGCGCCCUCCACCCCGGCUGGAACGCCCGGCAAGCCCGUGAACCUGCUGCCGGAGGUACCCUCCCAACCGGGCCGCAAACUCUCGGAGCGGGAACAGCGGGACUGUGAGGUGAUCGAACGGCUCAUCAAAUCGUACUUCUACAUCGUGCGGAAGUCCAUCCAGGACACGGUGCCUAAGGCGAUCAUGCACUUCCUGGUCAAUUAUGUCAAGGACAACGUGCAGUCAGAGCUGGUCUCUAAGCUGUACAGUCCCAGUGAGAUCGACACACUGCUGUCGGAGUCUCCUCACAUCGCGCAGCGGCGUAGGGAGAGUGCUGAGAUGCUGCGCGCCCUGCAGCGCGCCAGCACCAUCAUUAGCGAGGUGCGCGAGACACACGUAUGGUAGCCCGGCUCGCCGACUCGCGAGCCAGUGUAGGUGGUCUAGUCUUUGGUGUGCAGUAGUCGUGGCCAGGGAUGGCAGUUUGCAUCUCCAAACGGGCGGCGACAGCCGGGCGACUUACGAUGAAGCUGUUGUCGCCAAGCCCGUCGGUGGAGAAAUUAGAGGUGCAAAUGUGUCGCCGGAAUGUCGCCCCAGUGACCUGAUAAUCGCAAUGUGUCUGUUACGGUGCUGCACAGGGGCGGGGUGGGUCCGAACCCCGCCAGCUUGAUCUGGCCAGAGCACACUCAGUGACUGGGGAGCGGGAGGGUCCUCUGCACGGAUCGGGGAGGGGAGGACGCCAUUGUGAUUAUGUCACGCGCACUCGGACCCAGUUGUGGGUGUCGUCACUGUUCUGUUUCGCCGGUUAACGGAUGAAUUUCGGAUCUAUGAUCGUGCUGAGCGGAUGGUGCCGCGCUGACCACACUUGUCGCAGUAUUGUGGUCAGGGCGCAGCGAGACGGGUUGUGAGGGAGAGUGUGAGUGGGAGAGAGCGGUCAGUCGCGCGCGGUCGCCGUCUUUACCGGUGGUGUCGGCUGGAUGGCCUAGUGGCACAAUAUAUGGUCAACUGAUGUACGUGA
rnacentral:misc_RNA from 1 species